UACAGAGGCCACGAGCGUUAGGCGGAAUCACUGGGCUUAAAGCGUGUGUAGGUGGAUGACUAAGUACCUUGUGAAAUCCCACGACUCAAUCGUGGAACUGCUUGGUAUACUGGUUGUCUUGAGGCACUCAGGGGCGAGCGGAACAAAUGGUGGAGCGGUGAAAUGCGUAGAUAUCAUUUGGAACGCCAAUGGUGAAGACAGCUCGCUGGGGGUGUACUGACACUGAGACACGAAAGCCAGGGGAGCAAACGGG
rnacentral:rRNA from 1 species